UACGGAGGGUGCAAGCAUUAAUCGGAUUUAUUGGGCGUAAAGGGCGCGUAGGCGGGAAAGUAAGUCAGACGUGAAAUCCCGGGGCUCAACCCCGGAACAGCAUUUGAAACUGCUUUUCUUGAGGGUAGGAGGAGAAAACGGAAUUCCACAUGUAGCGGUGAAAUGCGUAGAUAUGUGGAAGAACACCUGUGGCGAAGGCGGUUUUCUAUUUUAUACCUGACGCUAAAGCGCGAAAGCAAGGGGAUCAAACAGG
rnacentral:rRNA from 1 species